rnacentral:lncRNA from 1 species
AUCUUGGCUCCUCCCCCGACAAUUUCUCCAAAAUAAACCUCCAGCAAAUCGUGGUGAUCCCCUUUAGAAGCAAUGAAAAAUCAUGGCUAGACUGCCUCAUCUGUGGUACAUGACGGCUGCCUAAUCUGCUUAGGCAGCUCAGCACGCACAGAUCCUAGAUCAGAGGCUUGAAUUCACCAAUCUGUGUACACACAGCUGGAUGCAAUACCCUUGGUUUUCCUGGUACCAUCUGCUCACUAAAUCAUCCCCUGAAGGCCAAAAACAGAACAAAAGCAGCAUUGGGGAAAGGGGAAAAGAGGUACGGAAACUGGACAGGUAGAGGUGUUUAAGGAAAUGGCAGACAUUAGCAGAUGUCACAGAGAUUUAUUUCUUUUUCUGUGGGGAUUUACUCUAGUGACUAAACUCUGUUUCAGCGUUUUUUUUCCCCCCAGAAAGCACUUGGAGCAUUCAUCAUUUGCUGUGGGAGCUGCUUUGUGGGCAAAACUUCCUUUCCUUUCGGGUCUUGGAUUCAGGGUUUAGACUUGAAAUAUUAAGAGGAACAACACCUUGAAGUUUCAGGGACAGAGAAAGUGCAAAGCCUAGGAUGAGGAGGAGUUGUCAAGAUAAAUUCUCAAGGUACCUUUCUCAAAAGCAUUCUUUCUCCUACUCACCUCUGGCGCAACCACAUCCAGGAAGGGUGAGGAGUGAAGGCCUCAGACCAUCUGUGUGGUGGGAAAUACAAGAGAUUUGAGCUCUUGGCAUAGUGUUUCAGGCCAUGUUUUGGAACCAGUGCCCAGAAAACAGGUGCUAUGUUUUCUUGGGGGAGCAUCCUCAGGGUUAAGGCUUUGAGAGUUGCCAACGAGCAGGGAAACCCAUGCGUAAGUCAUACACUUUAGGAAACUCAAUAAAUCCUCACUGAUUAAUUCCA